CGAUGGCGACCGGCGCACGGGUGCGUAACGCGUAUGCAACCUACCUGUAACAGGGGGAUAACACUGAGAAAUCGGUACUAAUACCGCAUAACACUAUGAGAGGCAUCUCUUGUGGUUGAAAGUUUCGGCGGUUACAGAUGGGCAUGCGUUGUAUUAGCUGGUUGGUAAGGUAACGGCUUACCAAGGCGACGAUACAUAGGGGGACUGAGAGGUUAACCCCCCACAUUGGUACUGAGACACGGACCAAACUCCUACGGGAGGCAGCAG
rnacentral:rRNA from 1 species